rnacentral:tRNA from 1 species
UCCAGGGGCGGGAAUCGAACCCACACCCUUCUGCUUACCGGGCAGGUGCCUUGUCCACUCGGCCG